AGCCUCUGGAGAAUCUCUUAAAUGAGUGCCGAAGGUGCAAGGUCGGGCAUAUAGCCAGGCUGAAUCUCUCAGGCAAACGGACAGAGCC
rnacentral:ncRNA from 1 species